GAUGAACGCUGACAGAAUGCUUAACACAUGCAAGUCAACUUGAACUUCGGUUUGGGUGGCGGACGGGUGAGUAACGCGUAAAGAACUUGCCUCACAGCUAGGGACAACAUUUGGAAACGAAUGCUAAUACCUGAUAUUAUGAUUAUAUGGCAUCGUAUAAUUAUGAAAGCUAUAUGCGCUGUGAGAGAGCUUUGCGUCCCAUUAGCUAGUUGGAGAGGUAACAGCUCACCAAGGCGAUGAUGGGUAGCCGGCCUGAGAGGGUGAUCGGCCACAAGGGGACUGAGACACGGCCCUUACGCCUACGGGAGGCAGCGGUGGGGAAUAUUGGACAAUGGACCGAGAGUCUGAUCCAGCAAUUCUGUGUGCACGAUGAAGUUUUUCGGAAUGUAAAGUGCUUUCAGUUGGGAAGAAAAAAAUGACGGUACCAACAGAAGAAGUGACGGCUAAAUACGUG
rnacentral:rRNA from 1 species